AUGUCGUGUUGGUGACGUUUCCAUAAUUCAUGUUUUAAAAUUUUAUACAAUAUUAUUAGAGCAUUGUACAGACGGACAUUUUGGAUGGCAUAUUUAUUACUUGGGCUGGUCGCCCUAGUUAUCUUAUCUCCAUUUGCAAUACGUGCUCCAACCUUUAUUAUCAAGUCUGUCUCCCUAUUGUCUGAAGUUUGUUCUGUCACUGCCUGUUUGAUUUGGUGAAAGUUACUGCGGAAAAUGAUCAUUGGGUUGCUCACCACCUACACAGCUGGAUUAUUUCUGGACUGACAUACUCACUUAUUUGUGCGGAUUUUUGGAGAACGGCUUUUUGGGAGUCGAAUGCUGCUUGCCUUCUUGCGUUGACUUGGUACAGAGUGAACAUACAGCAACACACCACUGCACCUACCAAGGGUUCAAGAGGGCAUGACACCUGGGACUAUGUCUAGCUACUUUCCCACUGCUGACAUACAUUGCCGUUCCGAUAAGUUAUAAGUAUAGAUUUCCUAUCGGAAUAUUGUUUACUGCUUGCAGUAUAGAACAUUUUCUUGUGAGAAAGAUAUUAAAUAGAAUUGACCUAAACCAUUAUCUUUGGGGGAGUGAAUUUACCGUGAUAGACAAUUAUCACGUCAAUUAUCACAGAAUUAAUUAAUGAACUGAAUUGUACUUGUGGAGUUUAUUGGACUCAUGGACUUUAAAAAGUUUCUUUUUUAUAUGCCUAUAUGUAUUUACGUGGUAUUAUUUUAAAUUGUCUUUUAUAGUGCUAAUUAUCUAUCUAUCGCACUAGAACUGAUAUUUUAAGGUCAACCAUAGUUAAAACUAAAGGUAAUCUAAAUAUUCAUUCAUUGAACAUUUAAUUCACCAUUGUAAAGGUGGUUAAUAAAUCCCCCUCUCUAAUAAAUAUUAAAAAUUAAAAAAAAACAUAACACAAUUUAAUUAAAUAAAUGCACUCUACUCCUCCAAUUUAACAAAGAACAUUCCUGUAGUACAUUGGUGCAGAAAUACUGAUAGCAAAUUACUUUAAAUAUAACAAACUAUAACUACUCAUACAUUUUGAUAAGACUCGUUGUUCUUAGUAACUGUUUAUCUAGUUAUCAU